AACCACACAUGAUAGAAGGGCUUUAUAUUUGCAGCAGCACUACUAAAGUCGGCAGGAAUGUUGCUGCAGGAAAACAUCCCUGGAGAUCACCAUCAUUGUCAGACUGACUGUGCCUCCUCUGUGCAGUGUCAAGAUCCUCCCUAAAUGAGUGUUCCUCAGCUAUCCUGCUUCUGUGCUGCUUGCCACACAUCAAACACUGGCCGGAUGACAGGGAGGAUCCACUCUGAAGUCACUGGACAUGAUGAGGAUCAUAUGGGACUUUAUAGUUUCACAGAAACGUUGUGCUCUUUGAUUACAGGUUUUAAAUGGACAUAAUGACUGCGUCUCUCUGAUCA